GCAGCCCCAACAGAGGUGUCAGGGCUCCUCAUGCCCACUCAGCAUUUAUAGGACACAAGAAUGGUCCCCACUGUGAAGCCUGCCUUCUCCAGAUGGAGCCAGCUUACCAGGGUGCUUUGCAAAUUGAUUUUCAGUGCGUGAGGCUAAUGGAGCCAGCUGCCAGGUCGUCUGAAUCAUGUUUUUACAGAACUUUAGAACGUUUUUUUGUUUUGUUUUGUUUUGAGACAGGGUUUCUCUGUAUAGCCCUGGCUGUCCUGGAACUCACUUUGUAGACCAGGCUGGCCUCAAACUCAGAAAUCCUCCUGUCUCUGCCUCCCCAGUGCUGGGAUUAAAGGUGUGCACCACCACGCCCGGCUUUUAGAACACUUUCUUAAGAGUGUUUAUUUUUACAAACCAGAGAAAAUUGGCCCAAACUAGGUAGUGAUCCAAGGACCCACCUGACCUAACACCCUAGAAGUGGAGACCUCAAAGGUCACCUCAAAGGUUCCAUCUCAGAAGUCAGCCCACCCCCAUCACUGACCACGAUUUCCCUCCCUGGUUCCACUCUAAGUACCCAAGCAGAAGAUCCAGUAGGUCCAAGUUCAUAAAGACUCAGAAUUCGGCUGUUCAGCUGGGAAGUCCCAGGGAGUGAGCGUGAUGAAGUCCAUCACUAUUCAAUAAAGCUUGUUUUCAAUAAGCCACCGAGAAAGCCCAACGUGCUCGCUAGGAGUCAAGCCAGCGACUGCGGCGGAGGAGACGAUCAGAUUCUUUUUCAAGGUGAAUGGAUUUCUCAGGACAAGCCUCCCUCUUCCUAAUAUGGCCGCCUAAUAGCAUCUCCUGUGUGUAGGCAUAGGGUUGCAUCGGAGGACGGGACAGCUUAGAUCGGGCUGCUCUUGGGUUAAGUCCCUUGCAGGGAGGAACCUUGUGGUUCAGAAACACAGCUGAGCCGAGAGCAGUAGAGCACAGGUCAUGGGAUACACGGCUCAAUCAGGGACAGCGGGCACAGUCACCUGUGGUCACAGACAUGCCCAGUUAAAGCAGUGCAGGGUCAAUGAGAGAAACACAGCAAACUGAAAUUAAUAAUUCUCAAUUUAUUAAGAGUUCUACAGCUUUACAGCCCCAGUGCCAGCUAUGGCCUGGCAAGGUCAGCCUGGCGGCCCCUUUACUGCAUCCACCCGGAGCUCCCAUGUGGCUGCGGCCCGAGACUGGCAGUGGGCGUUCCUGGUGGCAGAGGUACUGAAGUGGCACAUACAGCUUUGUCUCUUUACAGAGUGGUUCCAGUAGGGUACAGAGUCCAAAUCCAUGGAGAGGAAAACAGUCCAACUUGGGGACAAAGGCUGAUGGCCCUGCCGGUGGCCCAGCUGGGGCAGGCUCACUAAUCAGCGCUGCCUUGACUGUGUUACCUUGGGCUGUAGCCAGCUGGCAGGGUGAAGGUGGGGUUCUAAGUUCUACCAACAGGCUCGCAGCCCUCUUCUGGGAACAGGUGUGGGGCUGCCCCUCCCCAGCCGGGCCCUGGGAACUCUGCACAUGUGGCACCUGCAGAUGACAUCCCAGAGAGGAGGGAGCGGCCACUGCCAACCCUGUGGGGCGGGCUGUCCCCAAACCCCUCCCAUGCCUACGCCAGCACCUGCAGCAUUGCUCCUGAGAUUAUCCGGGGUGGAGGAAGAUGGACCACUCCUGACCCAUCACAAAGUGACGAGGCCCGCCAGGCCCUACCUAGCUGGUCUUCGGCUCCAUAGGGCAGCUGCGGCUGGCACGCCGCGGGCUCCGAGUCCUGGCACCAGUGAAGCUAAGGCACAGCACGGGCACUGGCAGAUGUGACCGUGCACUGCUUGCCCGACAGGAAGCGGCACUCAAUAAAUCUGCAUUUUUUAAACCAGC
rnacentral:lncRNA from 1 species